UUCCGGUUGAUCCUGCCGGAGGUCAUUGCUAUUGGAGUCCGAUUUAGCCAUGCUAGUUGCACGAGUUUAGACUCGUAGCAGAUAGCUCAGUAACACGUGGCCAAACUACCCUACAGAGCACGAUAACCUCGGGAAACUGAGGCUAAUAGUGCAUACGGCUCGCUACCUGGAGAUGGUACGAGCUCGAAACGCUCCGGCGCUGUAGGAUGUGGCUGCGGCCGAUUAGGUAGACGGUGGGGUAACGGCCCACCGUGCCAGUAAUCGGUACGGGCUGUGAGAGCAAGAGCCCGGAGACGGUAUCUGAGACAAGAUACCGGGCCCUACGGGGCGCAGCAGGCGCGAAACCUUUACACUGCACGCCAGUGCGAUAAGGGGACUCCAGGUGCGAGGGCAUAUAGUCCUCGCUUUUGUACACCGUAAGGUGGUGUACGAAUAAGUGCUGGGCAAGACCGGUGCCAGCCGCCGCGGUAAUACCGGCAGCACGAGUGAUGACCGCUAUUAUUGGGCCUAAAGCGUCCGUAGCUGGCCAGUCAAGUCCAUCGGGAAAUCUCUCCGCCCAACGGAGAGGCGUCCGGUGGAAACUGUCUGGCUUGGGACCGGAAGACCAGAGGGGUACGUCCGGGGUAGGAGUGAAAUCCCGUAAUCCUGGACGGACCACCGGUGGCGAAAGCGCCUCUGGAGGACGGAUCCGACGGUGAGGGACGAAAGCUCGGGUCACGAACCGGAUUAGAUACCCGGGUAGUCCGAGCUGUAAACGAUGUCUGCUAGGUGUGACACAGGCUACGAGCCUGUGUUGUGCCGUAGGGAAGCCGUGAAGCAGACCGCCUGGGAAGUACGUCCGCAAGGAUGAAACUUAAAGGAAUUGGCGGGGGAGCACUACAACCGGAGGAGCCUGCGGUUUAAUUGGAUUCAACGCCGGA
rnacentral:rRNA from 1 species